GCGGAGUUCCAGUCACAUACUCGGUGAAAGCCAAAGCAACCAAACCCAACAUCGCAGCCCGACCGUUCCACAGCUCUGCAUCCGACGUCAUCAACCCACUCGACUUCGACUCUGCCCUCACCCCUUUAAACAACGGCACCAACGACGCCACCGACAGCACCAAACUCGUCGCUACAAACGCCGGUACACCACCGUGAGAGAUCUGAGCGAACACAUCUUGACCGUUGCUCAACUCGACCGCCAUCGCUGACACAAACCCUAUCAUCGCUAACCUUCCGUUAAUCCUCUCCGGUGCAGGCCCACCGAACGCCAACACGUCGGAAAACUUGGUGCUGACCUUGGGCGCCGGUGGUGGCGGUGGUGGAGUGUUCAUUGGCGGCGGAGUUGGUGCUGCUGGAGUUUUGGAAGCGUCGGUUGAAGGUUGUUGAUCUUGUGACAUGCACCUGACGACAGCAAAGUUGACGUUUCUUGUAGAUGAAGAAGGGGUGGUGGUGAGACGUGCAACUGGGGUAGCCAUGAAGACUGAAGUAGCUGCCAUUGCAAUGGAUGAUUGAGAGAAGAGUUGGUGGGUUGGGUUAUAUAGGGGAGGGGGUGAAGACAAAGACUGGAUAUUAAGAGGGCCACGUUACUCACUUUUUGGGUUGGGUCACGUGGCUUUCGAAUUAGCCGCUGGGACGUUGUUGUGGUGAGUUCGGCCUCUACAUGUGCAGUUUUAGUACCAGUGGACUGAUUGGACCAUGGGACUUUCCAGAUUGUUUGCAUAAAGUUCAAUUUUUAAAUAUGAUUUGGUUAGUCUAAUGUCUUCAACAAGUAUGGAUUAGUGGUAACUAGGUGAUGUGUCGGUGUUUACACCUUUGGUGUAUUUACUUGGUGAUAUUCAACAAACAACUAGGUAUUCAUGUAUUUUUUUAAAUCACGUACGUUUAAUAUUUAAAAGAUGUAUUUACUAAAUCACAUGUGUCUUAGUAUUUUUGUAUAAAAACUCAUUC
rnacentral:lncRNA from 1 species